rnacentral:rRNA from 1 species
UACGUAGGGGGCAAGCGUUGUCCGGAAUCAUUGGGCGUAAAGCGCGUGUAGGCGGCCCGGUAAGUCUGGUGUGAAACCUCGGGGCUCAACCCCGAGCCUGCACUGGAUACUGCCUCGCUCGAGUCCGGGAGGGGAGAGCGGAAUUCCUAGUGUAGCGGUGAAAUGCGCAGAUAUCAGGAGGAACACCGGUGGCGAAGGCGGGUCUCUGGGCAACAACUGACGCUGAGGAGCGAAAGCGUGGGGAGCGAACAGG